UCAACAAUAUUGAGAAAACUGAAUACCCAAAGCAGAAGAAUAAAGUUGAGCUCUGAAUUUGCAUCAUCUAUGAA
rnacentral:snoRNA from 1 species